rnacentral:tRNA from 1 species
UUACAUGAUAAAAUCAAUUUCGACUUGAUUAUUUUAAAAACUUUAACAUGUUUA